UUAAGUUCAGCGGGUAUCCCUACCUGAUCCGAGGUCAACCUUUGAAAGAUUUAACGGCCGCGCCGGCCCGGACUCCACUGCGAAAUAGUUGCCACAACGCUGGGAGACGGGUCAGACAGCCGGAGACUUUGAGGCGCGCGGGGGACCCGCGACGCCCAAUACCAAGCGAGGCUUGAGUGGUGAAAUGACGCUCGAACAGG
rnacentral:misc_RNA from 1 species